AGCGAAAGGAAGAGAGGGAAGGGAGAGAAAAAGGAGAGACCUUAAGCUGAACGGAGGAUUGUGCCUGAGAAGAACCUUAGAGGUGCUACAGGAGGCAGCAGCCCGGCUCCACUUCCAAUGGUGACAGGACACAGACUGCAGAGACCGCUGUACUGGUGGACGCUCAAGCCAACUGUGAAGUUGAAACAAAGGAAUCAGGACUCGGUCACCUGAAGACACCUCUUCUGCUAAGCGACACACCCACAUGAUGCAGUUCAGCCAGUAGACUCUCAGAACAAGAGGCAAUCUUUGCAAGAAACAGGAACACUUGAGAAUGACUUCUAGAUUUCUGACUUCCCUUCCUCGUGUGUAUUCCUCUGUUUGUAUUUCAAUUCUGUGUGACAUUCAUCUUUAAAAAAGUGUUUUCUGAUAUGAAUAUGCUUAUCAACACACCCAAUUUUUAAAAUAGAAAAUUUCACACACAUGCUAAUGUUUUAAGGAACAAAAUUCAUGCUAUGAAUUUUAGCCACAUACAAGGUUUGACCUUAAGAGUGACUUAAACAAUAGGAUAUAAAGUUAUUUUGAAACAGCGGAGUCGUCGGAGGUAACUCAAAGGAUAGAAUAACGGUGGUAACUCAGAAUGCAGCGUAGAAAGGCACUACCCUGUGACACCACCAAUCAACCAUGCUUUCUGUCAGGCAAGCUAGGUUCUGCCUCUGCAGAGUUUAAGUUUAGUUAGGCAGAGGUAUGUACGCUUUUGACAAGAUAAGUAACAAAUCAAGUCAAUAGACAAUAACAGUAAAACCAAAGCAAGACAAAAGAUGUAUGAACAAGGAGCUCAGAGGUGGUCACGUUAAACUGGGCAAACUGGUCCGUUUAGGGAAGAAAGUUCGCAAAGGAGGAGGAAAUGAAUCUUAAAAGAUGUUAAAGAUUUCGAUAAAUGGAAAAGAAGGAGAAAAUCGAGUCCUUUAGAUGGAUGUGGUGUUGUGAGCAAAGUCCGGGAAGACUACAUGUAAUUUUAGGGAAUUAUGAUCACACAUGUCUAGUUGCCUUCACCCCAGACUUUCAGUGCCAGUGUGUGUGUAUGUACAUACGUGGUAAAGACUUCAUGGACACAUUGUCCCUCUCCCGCUUCAGGUGUCGCCUAGAAUCAUAAUUGUAUUUCUUCCAUUAAAGCACGUGAGAGUGGCGAUAACAGGAGGAUUUGUGAUUUUUCUCUUGGCCUGAUAACAAUGGAUGUUUAUUGAGUUCUCACUACAUUUUGAGUAUUUUAUACAUCAACUCUCUGAAGCCUCACAACAAUCCUGCAAAAUUUAUCCCCAUUUUACACUAAGAAAACUGAGGUUUAAUGAGGUUAAGUAACUUGCCAAACCACCACAUCCAGGUGUCACAAUCAGAUUUGCCAUCGCAAAGCUCAUGAUCUAAAGCACUAAGUCAAAAUACUACGACCAACAUCACAAUAUGACCACUUCUCUAGUCCUUGAGAUUUUUCUGUGGUAAAUGGUAACAAUUAUCUUCUCAAAUUUUUCAGUUUUCUGGUUAAAUUACACUAAAGUGAUGGAACGUAUUUUUAUCAUGACAGAAAUUGGAGGGGAAAUGGGGUUUAUCAGCAUUUUAGGCUGCUUUGGUGGGUGUCCAGCCUUUGAUGGGACUAUUCAUUUUGGUGAGCAUGAACUCUCCACUUCUUGAGAAUGAAAAUAGAAAGUGAGGGGAGCCUAAAGGUCAUCUAUACAAUGUCCUUUUCUACAGGUGUUGUCAAUCCAUGAAGUUAGAGUGACUUACAGAAGAUCCCACAUUUGCGUGUAGCAAAGCAAGGUCCAGAAACCAUGCCCUCAGCGGCUCUUAAAUAAACAACUGCAUCCUGCCUAAAAGAAGUGUGAGCUUGAAUUUGAUCAAUGACAACAUUCCAUCUGGGUGAUCAGGGGCGGCAUGGAACCUAGUAGACUGCUCAGUUUUGCACCUCUCUGGCUUCUCACCUCAGCGUGAAAAAUAGCUAUAGCUCUGGGCUGACAUCUUUAGAUGCAGGAAUUGUCAGUGGUCCAUCCACACAGAACAUACAAUGGCCCAAGUUAUGUGUACAGUGUCUUCAAUGAUUUGGAAUUCUCAGUUCACCUAAACAGAUCUUCUCAUGAGCAUUUCCUGAACCAAUUUUAUGCACAGUAUAUAUUAGAGCUUCCACAUCAAGAUUUAAACACGACUGUUUCGCUAGUCCUUAUGUUUUUGAUGGUAUCAGUGGUUCUUUGCUAUUUUAACCUUCACUUAUCCAGGUGACUAACUCAAGAAUACUUCAGCAAUAAAAAGCUGGAAUUGAGGAAACCUUAUUCUUUACCAGCCCCUUCGCCUUCAGUUGGCAUUCAGUCAUGCCAAAUAGAGGGGUCAGCUGGAGAACUCAAAUUUGAAAUGCAAUUUUGUCUGAAGUCCGUUAAGCUGUGUUUACUUAAGGGCAAGCUUCUAGAUGUUUGAAAGUACCUGAAUAUUUAACUGUUGUAAAUUUCCAGUUAGAUAUCUGGCAUUGUUGCACUUGGACCUGCUGGUGGCUCAGGUCAUCCUAUUUUCAAAAUGAUCAUUGGCCAUGUGUCACACAAUUCUCAUUAAGUGAGUUCAUAGAGUUUUUUAAGUCAAGCCAAGCACAAAAUGUGACUUUGUUGACAUUUUAUGAGACUUUGUCAUAUGUCCCCUGAACCCCCCAAUAAAAGCACUGUUGCAUCAA
ensembl:lncRNA